CUCUUCAAAUGCACAAGGCAAAUACAAUUUUAAUUCAUUCAAGUCUCGCCCCAAAAGCUUUUGAUACAUCAAUAUUUAAAGGAACUCAAGAUAAAGGAACAUAAAUAUACUACAACUUCCUAAGAAACUCUCUACAAAUGACCUAACAAGUUCCUAUGUCAUUAAAAUACACAGCCUUAUUAUUCCAAUGCAUACUAGUGGUCUUCAAAUUGUUUUCUUCAAGGUCUGCCUCCCGCAUCAACUUCUGUGUCCUCCUAUAGUCCUAUAGGACUGACUCAAACAAUUGCGAAAGCCCUUCGGGAAAAAGUAGCAAUCAUCCAUGACAACUUAUGUGCAGCUUCUUCGGGGUUUUUGGGCAGCUUCUUUCCUUGUAGAGACUUUUAUCACCU